AUUUCGCUGUGGUCGCCUGACGAAUUUAUAGUUGUGCCUUAGCGAUAACGAGUUGACAACGCUAGUUGUUAAGUAGGGUUUAAGGUAGACUCGUUUGCGGAAGACGUAGUCAUCGACUGGUUUUCAGCAAAAGCGUGUUUGUGAUGACGUUCCAGAAUGGUAUUGCGGUUACUGCGGAACAUUUCCGAAGUAUUUUUUGUAGGAUUGAAAACGUGAGGUCGCGCGGACUGUAACGUCGCAGGUAACAGCAUUUUGGGGGAUAUUUACCAACAAGCAACUAUAUCCCCUGACAGAUCGCAGUGUGCACACUUCGUGCGAAACGGUUAUGGUAUUCCCGGACCGACGAUAGCACACAAAUUGAUUGUCCACGUUUGGUUAUCGGAAAAUUCGAUAUAAUCAUUUAUAAAGCAAUAACCUGUCCUGAUCUACGAUUGCAACGCAAAAAAGACCUUGACAUUGUGAUGGACAAUCAGACUAUGCGACUCGAUCGAUGUCUUUCUAUACCGAACCUGCGGCGUCAUCAACAUCCGUCCCCAGUUUUGGACAUAAAGCUUAUAAGCAAAUGACUUCAAUAAUUAAUAUAAAGCCAAAAACAGAAAAAAAAAGUCGAGAAAUGAACCCCGAGGGAUUCCGUAUGGCAAUUCUCAUUCGCAGACAGAUUUUCUAUUCGUUAGACAGCUUUGUAACUACCUCAAACAAAAAAUAUCAAUUUCUUAAGAAGCGUGUUCGUCUGCAUAGAGUCGUAUGAUCGGCCCGGCCGAACAGAUUAUUAAAGUGAAGCCAAUGCGAUAGAAAUCGAUAUUUUGCUGUUAAUAUUAAUAUGAGGACAAGCAGGAUAAUGUUAAGUGUCCUUCUGAACCUAUCCUGUUAUCCUAUGUCUAACAAUCUAUUUAAUUUUAAAUAAGACGGUAUCCGGUAGAAAGAAAUUUGUCAAAAACAAUGAAAUCUAUUGAGGAUACAUUAAACAAACAGUGGUUGGCAGGUUCCAAGUUUGAAGCAUUAACGAGCAGCCAAGUAAAAUUAAUCCUACUGAAAAUGGAGUGAAGUCCAGAUGAUUUAAGUGAGAGCACUCGAAAAAUUCGAAUAUACAAACAGUCGCUACUUACCGCAAGGAUGAGCUUACCCCUACUGAUGAUGAAGCUUGCUGCUGUUAGAAGACAGAGAAUGUUAUUAAGCUGAUCUCUGGAUAGACUGCAACGAACCUCUGACAAACGAAUACGCGCUGUCUACCCGGUAAAGAAAGUGCUUUGACUAGAACGGUUUCUCUGCUUGGAAACGAUCGUUUGUUUGUACGCAGCUUUAGGUGCUAAACUUUCGGUGGGGGUCCGAUAAUUGCAUUACAUUUUAUUUAUUCUGAGCCAAGGUUGUAAUAUGUAAUGGGUUAGAGCUGGGUAACUGUACUGGGUUGAGCAACUGUUAGAAAAAGGUAAAAUUUGUAUGCUUUAUGUAAAUUUACACAGUCAUGCUCUUGCUAUGGGUGUGCAAGUAAGCAAGCGCUAUUGGGCUGCUCAUCGAAAAUUUGUCUGACAAUAACUUUAAUCACACAAUGGGUGAGAGCUGCUUUGAAGGUGAAACCCAAAAACAUGUCAUCUCUUUUACGUAAUUCUGUACGAUGAGAAAUAACUCGGCUAUUCAUAUUGCCACCUUAUAAUGCUUACUAUAAGCGAAACAGACCAAAUGUACAUAUAGAGUAAUCCACCUUUGUGACCUUGCUAUAUCAGAAAUUGUGAGCCCACAACAUUAUUGACUACGGGUAAAAAAAACGCUUAAUGCAUCAUACAUGAUCAAUUUUUUUUCUGUAAUUUUGGCUAAAACUCCUUCGUACGAAAAGUCUGAAUCUCGAACAAAGUAACGCGUUCAUGCACGUCAAUUGACUAGACAACCGAAAAACGUCGACGUCCUACGCCACCUAAGUGAAAGAAGAAAGAAGUAGAAUCAGUAUUCCACUGCUACGAUAGAAUUCUCGUACGUAUACGAAUGCCCCUAGUUACAAACAACAUAACACUGGCCGUACGCUGCAACUGUUUGACCAGCAGUAAUUUUAUAAAAUGUCUGGUCCACUGCUGAAUAUUUUCUACGAGUUGAAAGGAUAAAGACAAAGUUCCACCCAAGAGGAACACGAGUGGUAAGGAAAGGAAAAUCGAGGACCCCCUCGGGGAGGCAAGGUCAUUUUGCAGAUGAGCUACAGCCACUAUCGACAGUGCAACGGUCGUUGUACUUCUACUAGAAAUUGUUACAUGUGACUUAUACGCCGCAACGGAGCUUCAAAAUGAAACGAUUAAACAUCUAUGUAGCAGCAAACAUUCGUUCUUUUCAAUAUGAUUCUAUGUCAGAUUGUCCGAUAUAACAUCUAUUAUCGUUGAUCGUUCUGGAAAAAAUGUGUAAAGUUAGAAAAAAAACACACGAGACAGUUUCGAGCGAAUGCGUAAUCAUCAGAACGCGCUUUAGUAAUUCAUAUUUAUUGUAGCAGGCGAUAAAUAUAGAAUUAAAGUAACUGAUUGAUUUCGCCGCGUUUCUAUGAAGCCUUCAUCGAUCUGUCUUUCUAUACGAUUCUCGUUUACUUGCCAUUUUGUGGCUUCCGCUCACGCGUGAAUGAGGGUCGCUUUUGCGUACGAAUCGACGAAGUGUGAUGAUGAUUACUUUGUCUAUAUUCAUGUUGCUGUUGCUAAUAAAUGAUCAUAAUCUCGUAGUUGUUAUCGUGUCUGAGAUUACUGUUAGUUAAUUAUCUCUUUUUUUUUUGCUAUUGUAAUUCUUGUUCCUAUAGUUAUUUAUUCAUUCAUUU
rnacentral:lncRNA from 1 species